CAGCAGCCGCGGGAAUACGGAGGGUGCAAGCGUUAUCCGGAUUCACUGGGUUUAAAGGGUGCGUAGGCGGAUCUGUAAGUCAGUGGUGAAAUCUCCAGGCUUAACCUGGAAACUGCCGUUGAUACUAUAGGUCUUGAAUUUUGCGGAGGUUAGCGGAAUAUGUCAUGUAGCGGUGAAAUGCAUAGAUAUGACAUAGAACACCAAUUGCGAAGGCAGCUGGCUACACAACUAUUGACGCUGAGGCACGAAAGCGUGGGGAUCAAACAGGAUUAGAUACCCCUGUAGUCCCUGUCUCUUAUAU
rnacentral:rRNA from 1 species